rnacentral:lncRNA from 1 species
AGGGAACCAGCCCCGGCUCAAGAGGUCCUUUCCUUCCACGGACCCAAGCAGUGGGAGCACCGGGUGAUGGGAUCUGGACCUUGGUACUCACUUUUUCUCCAGGCCUGGCACGGAACCUGCCACACUUUAAUCCUCAUGAACGUGUGACCGGUGGACAAAUGAGGAAGAGUCCAGAAGCCCAAGAUGGAAGCCACAUUGAUAGAGGCGGGCUUUCCUGGUGAGGUGAGAUUUGGGUGGGCCUUGAGGAUAAGUAGGAGUUUAC